CAAAAAAGGCCUGAUCAUAGCACCACAAAGCUUCCCGGGAUACAGGAGGACUUCCAGUCUCAGGAUUUGAUUGGCGGAGUCGCCCACAACCGACUCCAGCCGCAACUCCGGAAGAUUGCUAGGCGUAAAGGUUUUAAAGAUAUAUAAGCGGCACAAGAAUGAAGUUAUUCAUCCAAAACAUUGUCAGUGUGAUUGCGGGACCAUCGCAGGAGGAGGAGGAACGAGGGGCUCGGGAGAGCGCUGAGUGCCGGGAAGCAGCUGAGGAGCUGAGGGUACCGUGCACAAUCCUGAUUUGAUGGAGAUGGACGUGAGAGCACGGAGGAACAUCUGGUGAAACUUCUGAAAUGCCUGCUUCGCUGCUGCUGCUACUGUGUGGUCCAGAAUCUCCGGAGGAGAAGGCCCCGAGUCCUCGACUUUGCCUGUUGCUUGGCGGCCGGGGCCGGGGUCGAAGCGCUCGGCAGAGGAUGGUGCUCGGAGAGGCUGUGUCGGAGGGUCUGGUCAGAGGCUCGAAGUUUUCGGACGGACUCAGAGUCCGCUGCAGUCGGGUGCUUCUAAUAGUGCUGCAUCGGCGAGUUGGCAGCGCUUGGAGGUUCAUGGCAGGGAGGGUUUCUUCCUUUUGCCGCCUGCAUGGGAUGAUGAGUCGUUCGGGACUUUGAGACUUUUUUUUUACCGUGCCCACGGUCUGCUCUUUAUCAAAUUAUGGUAUUGCUUUGCACUGUUGUAACUGUAUGUUAUAAUUAUGUGGUUUUGUCAGUUUUAGUCUUGGUUUGUCCCGUGUUUUCUUGUGAUAUCAUUCUGGAGGAAAGUUGUAUCAUUUUUUAAUGCAUGCAUUUCUAAAUGACAAUAAACGAGGACUGAGUGUCCUCAUAAUCUAAAUCUAAACCACUGUGGCUUUGCGUGGGUAAGUCUUACUAAUUUCAGUAAGAUGUUUGACAAGGUCCCUCAUAGCAGGCUUAUCCAGAAGAUUAAAAUGCAUAGGAUUAACGGUAAAUUGGCCAUUUGGAUUUAGAACUGGCUUGCCCAUAGAAAACAGAGGGUGGUG